rnacentral:rRNA from 1 species
UACGUAGGGUGCGAGCGUUAAUCGGAAUUACUGGGCGUAAAGCGUGCGUAGGCGGUUCGCUGUGUCCGAUGUGAAAGCCCCGGGCUUAACCUGGGAAUGGCAUUGGAAACUGGCGGGCUUGAGUGCGGCAGAGGGGGGUGGAAUUCCGCGUGGUAGCAGUGAAAUGCGUAGAUAUCGAGGAGGAACACCGGUGGUGUAGACGGCUUUCUGGACCGUAACUGACGCUGAGACACGAAAGCGUGGGUAGCAAACAGG